AUGCAAUAAAACUUUAGUCAAUAGCACGAUAUGCAAGCACUAGCAAUGAAUGUGUACACUUAUAACGUCUAAUAUGUACUCACAUACAAUGUAUAUAAUAUAUAAGUGAUUUGCAUUGCCUUUGAUUGAAGCAAUGCAUUUUGAUUUAAAGUGGAACUUUAAGUCUUUCCUUCUUCGGCGAUAUAUGUAUAAUCAUGAUAACUCAAUUUGUGUUUAUAAAUAUCGUCGCUAAUUAUCAAUGCUGUUUCCAAGCUAAGCAGUGUCCAUAAAACCAUUUGAUUAGCAUUGAUAAGACACCGAUUGGUCACAACAUGCCUCAAGGGUCGACUUGCGGAGCCGCAUAUUAUUUUAUAAUCAAAAACACACACGGACACACGGGCACACGAUCCAUUCCACCAUAAAGCAAUGCAAAGAACCGAGCUUGAAUUUAUAUGCAAAUAUUAUUUAGAAAAGUACUCUGGCCUUGAAGUGGAUGAGAUGAACAAUUGCUGGAACAACAAUAGCAACUAA